rnacentral:rRNA from 1 species
UCUACUCUUGGACAGCCUUCUAGAAAGGAAGAUUAAUACAAGAUGGCAUCAUGAGUCCGCAUGUUCACAUGAUUAAAGGUAUUCCGGUAGACGAUGGGGAUGCGUUCCAUUAGAUAGUAGGCGGGGUAACGGCCCACCUAGUCUUCGAUGGAUAGGGGUUCUGAGAGGAAGGUCCCCCACAUUGGAACUGAGACACGGUCCAAACUCCUACGGGAGGCAGCAUG